UACAGAGGGGGCAAGCGUUAUUCGGAAUUAUUGGGCGUAAAGGGCGCGUAGGCGGCUUUGCAAGUGACGGGUGAAAUCCCUCGGCUUAACCGAGGAACUGCCUGUCAGACUGCAUGGCUUGAGACCGGGAGAGGUGAGUGGAAUUCCCAGUGUAGCGGUGAAAUGCGUAGAUAUCAGGAGGAACACCUAUUGCGAAGGCAGCUCGCUGGGACGUAACUGACGCUGGAGAACGGCGAAAGCGUGGGGAGCAAACAGG
rnacentral:rRNA from 1 species